AACCCUCGUGGCGCAAUGGUAGCGCGUCGCCCUCCUACGCAGUGGAAAGGCGAAGGUUGCGAGUUCGAUCCUCGUCGUGGGUUC